CGGCUAGAUUGUGGAAAAGGGCAAGGGCCCAAGUUGAUUCUGAGUCUGAUCUCAGCGACAUUGAGGAGGAGGCUUCUGUUGUUUCGGAAGAUCCAUCGGAUCCCGACUCAGAUUGCCCGGCCGGGGACUACGACCAUUCUCAGGACUACAGUCCGCUCCAGUCUGACAUGCCUGUUGUAGACCACAAGGCACAAAGGGAUGUAGAUAUGAUUGUGGAUCAACACGGUGAACCCCUGUUUGAUCCCGACCUCUUACGCCACCCACGGUCGGCGGAAUGGUCCCCCCCAGAACAUGUGGCCAAAUAUAUAGCGUCUAGGGUACGCAAGCCUUUAGAAAAGGCGACACGGAAUAAACUACGGGCAGAAUGCCCGCGCCCCACAGUCCCAGAUGAUGCCUGCAGCACACCUGCAGUUGACCCAAAGAUUACCCAAUUCUUGGGAAAGACAGGCUGGAAGCCCAACAAAGGCUUGGAGUUUGCCC